AUGGCGGUUGGCCGUGCCCUGAAGGCACAGCUCUGCGUCCCGCCGCACCAUCUGCGUGUCACGGCGCACAACCCGGAGGACUUCUUCGUCAUCUUCACGCAGCCGGCGCACCAUGACAAUGCGGUCCGCCGCGGCGUCCUGCGCGUCGACGGCGUGAGCUUCGCCAUCGCGUCGUGGGGAGAAAACGACCACGCGGGCCAUGGCACCUUCACCCUCCACGUGCGCUGUGUCAUCGAGCACAUUCCCCAGCAGUAUUGGACUCUAGAGGGCGUCCAGGAGGUUUUCGGCGACAAGGUGCUUGUCGAUCGCCUCGACAGCCGCACCCUGGAGCGCGACCACACCAAGACUUUCGCGUGUUGGGUGUGGGUCUGGGACAUGUCUUUCAUCCCGACCCGGCACACCUACUGGAAGCUGCCCCAAGGUGCUGGCAGGGUGGAGGAGAUGGAAGGAUUCUCGCCGCCGGACCGCCGCGUCGCCCUCCCGCCGGGCGCGGUGCGCUUCGACCUGCUCAUCCACGUCGACCGCAUCGAGGACUGGUCACCAUGCUCCCCCAAGUCGUCGCACUCUGCGCAAAGUGGCCUCCCCUCCUCCGACUCCGACAACGACGACGGCCUCCCCCGCACCAUCCCUGGCACCUGGGUCAUGCACGUCGAGGACGGCCAACCCAUGGAGCCCCACCGCCGCAGACAGCGCGCACCUAUGGUGGACACGGGCUGCUGUGGCCUCCCUGGCGGCGCCCACCGCCGCGACGACCACGACAACCAGGGCGGGGGCGGCGGCCAGCGCUCCUGGAAGGACACGCUGCUGGGCCGGGGCCGUGGCCACGCCGCCCAAGCUGAUCGUGGGGAGGCCACGAGCAAGGAGCGCUAG
rnacentral:rRNA from 1 species